rnacentral:lncRNA from 1 species
CGGGAUAAAGUCAAGAUCCAGAAUAGCUGAAGCCAAUAUGGAAGGAAUUCACAAAGCCUUGGAAAAUAUGGUUGCUCUAAUGCAACAUCAGAUGGAAAACAGCAAUCCACCCAGCCAAUCAGUUACAGGAAAUGGUGGGAGCAAUAUCGAACAAUUUAAGAAAUUAAACACACCUUCUUUUAAGGGUGCUGUAAACCCACUAGAAGCCGAGGGAUGGAUUAUGCAAUUGGAAAAAAUAUUCGAGGUUAUGGAAUGUCCUGAUGAUAGGAAGGUG